rnacentral:rRNA from 1 species
AUGAACGCUGGCGGCGUGCCUAAUACAUGCAAGUCGAGCGAACAGACGAGGAGCUUGCUCCUCUGACGUUAGCGGCGGACGGGUGAGUAACACGUGGAUAACCUACCUAUAAGACUGGGAUAACUUCGGGAAACCGGAGCUAAUACCGGAUAAUAUAUUGAACCGCAUGGUUCAAUAGUGAAAGACGGUUUUGCUGUCACUUAUAGAUGGAUCCGCGCCGCAUUAGCUAGUUGGUAAGGUAACGGCUUACCAAGGCAACGAUGCGUAGCCGACCCGAGAGGGUGAUCGGCCACACUGGAACUGAGACACGGUCCAGACUCCUACGGGAGGCAGCAGUAGGGAAUCUUCCGCAAUGGGCGAAAGCCUGACGGAGCAACGCCGCGUGAGUGAUGAAGGUCUUCGGAUCGUAAAACUCUGUUAUUAGGGAAGAACAAAUGUGUAAGUAACUAUGCACGUCUUGACGGUACCUAAUCAGAAAGCCACGGCUAACUACGU